GAUGGAGACUGAUAACUUUCUUUACAGCAGUGAAUGGAAUAAUUUCCCAUCAACAUCAAGUUAUUUACCUGAAAUUCUACAUUUUUCUCUUUCAUAAAUACUCCAGUUUUAACUGACAUCACUAUUAAAGGUUGCAAAAUAAUAUCCUUAGAGCUGAGCCACUCCUGAAAUGCAAGUCAAAAACCCUGGACAAUUUUACAGUGAAAGAAAAGAAGUUCCACAUUGUCAAUAUCCUUUUCACAAAAUCCACACGAGUUGUUUCCCAAAUAAAUUGCAAAAGAAUUGAGGGUGUUAAAUAAGUUCUAUGAGCAAAGUUGAAGUGUAUUAAUUGAUGAUUUAGGUUUCAGGAUAUCAUGUUAAUGUUUCUCCAAACUUUUUCUCAGUCAAUAUGUUGACAGCCUAAUUCAGUAUUUCGUGCUUCCAUGUAUAAAGGUGAUUUAGUUCUGUUCAAGAGAACUUGGUAUCUUGCAGAAAUUUGUCCUUUUGGGAGACCUAUGAAUUAAUUUGUAAAAUUGAUUAACAGAUGUAUUGGCAGUUGGAACCACAGAUCCCCAUAUGCUUUCAUUGCUGAUCUCAGUUGUAAUUAUGUACAGAAAAAAGAGAAAACCCUGUUACUUGAAACUCAUAUUUUAAAACAGAAAAAAGUCUUCAGGCCAUUUACAUCUAUGACAUCGCCUACUGUAUGUUAUCCAGAAUUUUUCCUCUGAGGAACGUAUUUCAUACUUACGCCAAAUUGAAACCGCAGUUGCAGUUAUUGGACCAUCACACACUCUUGACUGUUCAGCUGAAAUUUUCAUAAAUAGUAUGUCCUGUAAGGAAUUGGGUGCAACAGUAUCUUUCUCAAUUCUUACUCAGGGCAUGUUUGAAUCCAAGUCAAACCAAUUUGAUCAGGAGCAAAACGUCAAUGAUUGAAAAUAAAGUUUGAAGUUUGGAACAGCAAGUCCACCAGAUUGUUUUUCAUUCUGCAUUAUUUUGGGUUUCACACAAGCUUGUUUAUCUUUCUAUGAUACUUUUGUUAUGUUUCUAUGUAAUUUUUCCCAGUACCCACAGGGUGGAGCAAUAGGAAUCAUUUAGCAACAGAAAUGUAUUCUGGGCAAUAUGCUCAUUUUGAUGGUCAAUACUCCUCAAUACUUUUUUUCAAUAGAAGGGAAAAUAUCGAUACCUAAAUAUUUUAAAUAUCAAAAGGAUUUCUUUGGAGUUAUAACACAAGGAGGGAUUCCUCAGAAACAUGGAAGAUUAGGACCAGUUUAUUUUAUAAUUUAAGAUGGAAUCAAAUUUUGUAAAAAUAGUAAAAACAGAAUGAGAAGUAUCAUUCGGGUAUGCCAAGAUGACAUCAGCUUAAAGAGAGAUAUGAUGAUCAGUAGAGUUAAUGGUCAUAUGUUUGACCAUUUGAGAUUGACGGAGAUUCGUGCUAAUAGCUCCAUUGAUAGGAUAAACAACAAUGGUGAUAAUGGAUCACCUUGCCUGCUCCCUCGUGUGAUUUUGAAUGAUGGAGAACUAAUGUUUCCAGUAAUGACGCUGGCUGAUGGAUUUGCAAAUACAAUGGUAACCAAGUUUAUACAUCUUUCACCUAUGCCCAUAUAUUCUAAAAUGCACCAAAGGUAUCGCCACUUUGGGUGAUCGAAAGCCUUCUCAGCAUCAAUAGAAAUAACAGAUAAAGAGAGACUUGAGUUAGUGGAUGAAUAAACAAUACAGUUGUAGAUUGGAUAUUAAUUGAUUUGGGAUCUGUAAGAAACUCCAUGUCUCAUGAUUUUAAAGUGUCCAUACUUGCAGGAUAGUUACAAUUGCAUAAUUUAUUGGCCAAAAACUGACUCGGUCAAUUUCCAUGAAAACAGUAAUUGAGUCUAGCUGUAUGAAAAGCAAAUUCAGCUCUUUUUCUAAUGAAUGUAUUAAGCUCAGUCUUAAUCUUUACAAGUGUGGAGGACACAUCCUGGGAGUAAUUAUUUUGAUGAGAGAGUUCUAAGACAUGUUCUAAGAUGAUUUUCCAACUCAGAUAUCUUUUCCAACUGUAAUAUAUUAAGACCUGAAGCAAAAGAUGUUGGAUUCUUCCCAAUACAGCCUUUAGUUGCAUCUGAAAAUAUCCAAAAUCAUCCACAGAGUUUUUAAUUAAUUGCUAGGGAGUGAUUUAUUUAUUCUGGGUCAUCUACUAUAUAUAUAAAAGAGUUUUAAAGUCUGAUGGCUGCGGAUACCAAAGAACUUCUGAACCUUUCUGUCCGGCAAUGAAAAGAGAGGAGCCGUCCACCACCAUUGGCCUUUUGGUCCAUUAAGGUGUUUAUGAAGUGGGUAAUCCAUGUUCCUUAGAGCAACUUCACAUAAAAAAAUCUUAACAUCUCAAGAGAUGUAGUUACCUUUCUGCAGAAAAAUUCAACCUUUCCCCUCCAGGAGAGUUCAUGAUCAAUCUGGAUACCCCAAAAAAACAUGUUGAUGAUACCGAUUGUGACAAUGGGAAGUUUUUAUUGCUCACUAGAAUAUUUCUUAUUUCCUGCAAAUAAAAUUACUUUUUGUUUUUGAAUUUUAGAGAUAAUUUGUUUGACUGAAACCAAGUAUCAUAAUAGGAAAGGUCUUUAUUUGUUUCUCUAAUUAGAGUUGCAAAGUCUCUCUUGGAGGUAAAAAGGUUGGUAUCAUCUGCAAAGAGCAAAGGGACUGUAGUUUUUUAUAGUGAAACAAUAUUAUUAGUGUAAAUCAAAAACAAUAAUGGCUCUAAUACGGAUCCUUAAGGUACUCCAUACUUUCUCGUUGACACUUCACCAUUAAUAAAUGCAUAUUGUGUUCUAUUAUGAACAAAAUGUUUAAACCACUUAUGGACAUUACCCUGGAAACCUUUCAGCCAGAAGAAGCUGCCUAACCCCAGUGAAUUUGAAGCCUCUGAACUUCUUCACAUAGCACAUUUUCCUUUAAUCCCAGGAUGAAAAUAAGAACAUUGUAGGAGUUCUGAGAUCCCCAGGAACACAAUGAUGUGUUUUUCAUGUCUGUACUCUAAAAAUAUGAGGCCACAACAGCAAGUUAAACAGUGUUGACCCUGAGUGAUGAUCACAAUUUUCUUGCCCAAAAAUUCCAUUACGGUCAAUGGGCAGAAUCGCGGCCUGCUUAGACAGUUGGUCACUGACUGGCCAAGGGGUAUGACUUAAUGAUUUGAAACCUCUUUCGUGAGAAGCAGGACUUAUUUACCUCCAUUUAGAUGUAUUUUUUUAUGGCUGUGGAGUAAAAUUUGUGGGCAAGGAAGCUUAUAUUUGAGCUAGGUUUUGUCGAUCAAAAAAGGUCUCUCCACUCUUGCGAUGACAUCACCCACUGUAGCUGUCACAGCCACAUUAUAAGCCUGAAAUUUGCUGAAAACCAUGAGGUGCUCAGAGCUAAAUUGUGGAAAAACUGUAGAAGAUAGCACAAAAAAGUUAAUACAAGGAGAAGAUUGUGAACAUUUUAAAGCAAAAAUGAGGCCUGAGAUAUGAGAGAGAUAUGAGGCUGAGAAGGUGAAAGAGUAAAAGGUAGAAUUUGAAGAUUUCCCCAUUUAUUUAAUAGGAAAAAAUUUGCACAAAAAGUAAAAAAAUAUCCAAAAGUAUAAAAAGUAGGAAGGAGAAAAAUACAUCCGCACUUGUUCUGAAGGAGAGGAAUAGUUUAAGAGCUGAAUGGUUGAAACAGCACAAAGUGGGAAGGAGUUAGAAAGUGCCAAAAAGGUUCGCAAUAAUAAUAAUAAUAAUAAUAAUAAUAAUAAUAAUAAUAAUAAUAAUAAUAAUAAUAAUAAUAGAUAAAUAAAUAAAUAGGAGAAUAACAAGAAGUGGAAAUGCUUAAUCAGCAUUUCCACUUAAUAAUUACUGUCCCCACUUUAAUAUUUAUUACAUUACCUCUGACUGCAAGGCCAUGAGAUUAGCGUCUCCAUUUAGAACAGUUGAAUUAAAUCUGGCUUAUUCUGUGAGGAUUCAUCCACUCUAGUCCCCUGAGUUAUUUUCUUUUCAAAAGUUAUAGUAAAUUGAAAUGAUGAUGAUGAACCACGUCUCCGUCUUUCAGUUGUUGAACUCGUGCUGCCUUGUGUUUUGUAGAGGUUGAUGUAAUACACAUUCUGGGGUGACAGUCCCUAGGUGGCGUUGUCGCACCAGUUGUCACUUCUGGUUGCCUUCACUGAAACUCUCCUCACUGAUCUUUCCUCCUCCUGCGACACCAGCAAGAAAUGUUUUGCCAUUAUCAGAUUAAGUAAGUAAACUCCACACGGAUCAGUGCCACGGUGGAAUAGAGUUUUUGAUCCCUGACCUAUUUUCGUCAGAUCACUAUCGCCAGAUUAUGCAACGCUCCAGUGCCAGAGAACCGAGCGAACCAAAACUAUAAACCGUAUAUGGGGGGUAAAUCCCAUCUGAUUCUCGUCAGCUAAUAAAAAUAACAGCUCUAAUCCACCAGACAGCCCAUGGGCGUGUGCCGAAGUUGACAGAGCAUUUAUUGUCAGGACACUUCCGCAUAUGACGCAGUUUACCACUUCUGGGACGUCUCGUGGGUCGUGAACUUUUAAGACAGGUAGGUGUCUGAUACAUUUCCGCGAUACUGUGAUUUGGUUGAAUGUGUCAGUGGUAUAAGUUAUAACCAAUAUUAAUCACAGCUUUAAGAGGACAAUUGGUAGAGAUAACGGACACUCCUCCAUCAAUAAUCCUAAAUUUAGGAGAAAAAAAAUGCGAAAAAUACGCCCAAGAAAAAAAUGGAACCGCCCCCUCUUAUUUCCCAGAGAGCACGCAUCAUGGAAAUCAGAGAAAAACAGCUGAAAUUGUAAGAUAUAUAAUAGUGAUCAAUAUUAGGGUCGAAAUAAAGAAACUCGAUGGUUUACUUUACUCCAUACUUUCACUUCCUGUUUCCAGUCUUUUAUUCAUUUUGUUUAAUUCUGUUGGCUGUAGAUACAGGAAUUUAUGAAUGUGUGUGGUUUCUACAACAGAAAAUAGAGAAGUGUAUUAAUACAAAUAUAUAACCAUGAAUGCAAACAUUGGUUAAUCACUAUAGACCUACACACACACACACACACACACACACACACACACACACACACACACACACAUGCAUAUAUGUACAAUGUUUGCUUCACUGUGAUUUGUCAGCACAGCACCACUCCAGUCUAGCUUCUCACGUUCUCUUUUUGACAGCAGUUACUUCCUUGACUGUGUGUGAACCAGCAUCAUGGUGAACCAUUGUGGUCUGCUCUCUGCAAGAAAGGAACCAGGUAGAGAGCUUCAAAAUGCUUUUUAUUUAUUUAUUUAUUUUACCAAUACAGAAUCUUUAUUUCCUGUCUUUUAUUCAAACCUUAAAACUAACUUCGACUUUUGUUGCUUUAAACAGAUUUAAAUGAUUUUAACAACAACAACAAUAAAGAAUUAUGUAAAUUUGUUGUAUGUUUUGUUUUCUUUGUUGUUACUUUAUGAGUGUUUGCUGUUGAUGAUCGAUGAUCAUUAUGUUUCUCUUUGUUACUUUGUCAGUUCCCUUAAAGAGUGUGGAGGUGGAGGUGGAGGUGAGGGACCAUGUGGCUACUGUGGUCUCCACUCUCAAUUACGAGAACAAAGAGGACAAACCAUUAGAAGCAGUUUUUGUCUUCCCUCUGCCUGGAGAUGCUGCUGUCUGUCAUUUUAGCGCUACGCUUGGACAGACACAGAUCAUUGCAGAGGUCAAGGAGAAACAAGAGGUGAGCAACACAGUGAGGAUUGACUAUUUACUGUGAGACUAUCAGUAUAAUACUGUAAAAAUUAAGGUGACUCAUGUAAUCUGUACUCUAGGCACGUGAGGACUAUGAUGAUGCUUUAAGCUCUGGUUUGGAAGCCUUUCUGUUGGAGGAGAGUGAGCAAAGUCCGGAUAUAUUCUCCCUGAGUGUAGGCAGUCUUCAACCCGGAGAGAGUGCCUCAAUCAGGCUGGAAUAUGUCACUGAGCUGAAUGUGCAGGCUGAUUCUGGACUGAGGUUUUGUCUGCCUGCUGUGCUUAACCCUCGCUACCAACCUAAGGGUAGGUAAAACGAGCAAAAACACGUGUCAGUAACUUUGAAACUGCAUCUAUAUUGGUGGAUUGGCAUUGCACCUUUUUAUUAGUGCUUGUAAAAGUCAAAUCUUUAAAACUUGAAACUCAGCAAACUAAGAGACAAAGUGGUUGACCACUUUGAGCAGCCCCAUUAAUGACAGCCUUAUUAGGCCAUGAGCCAGGGGGGUUGGUCGGUAUCAACUGAGGGGAAUAAUGCUCAUAGUGAUUUUUGACAUUGUAUACAUGUAUAGAGUUAGAAAAUAUGUGAUAGCAUUGCAGCAGUGGUAGCUAAAUGUGUGCUAUCAUGCAUUUUAUUUUAUAACACUUGGCGAAAAUUACAUGGGUCAAUAUAUAAAAACAUGCAACUUAACCCCCCAAAAAACCUAUAGAAAGGGUUUCUUUUCACCAUACAUCAUUUCUAUAAGGUGUCUAGACUAACAUAAUAUAAGUCCUAUGAAAUCCUUGUUUGAAAAGUAUGUUAAUUUUGCCAGACAACAAUACGCAAAUGAGCUCAAAACUCAUUAAAAUUUGCCCAAAAUACUCCUUUUCCCCUGAACUAUUAUCACAGGGAAACUAUUAUCACAGUGAAAGCACAUUGAAAGAGGGUGAUGGCAAUGCUGCUUUUGGACCGGCCUCUAACCUGAAAACUUGGUUGUACCUACCAGGGGUAUAACCCCGGCCGGCGUAGUCUUCAGGGUCACUGAGGCACACAAGCCUCCCCACCACGACAAGGUAGUAACAAUAGGGGAGGGUGUUUUUUUUGUGUUUUUUUUUUGUGUUUUUGUAUGUUUAUUUUUGCCCGGAUCCUCACCACCUUCUCUACAUGUCAGUUCCUGGCUUGUUCUUUGCUUUGUUCUGGGACAGAGUUAAACCAAGAAAGGUGGUUUUUGUGUAUAUCCCUACGUUUGCCAUUCAGGAAUAGUGUAGGCCUGAAUCUCUCCAAUUCUCAAUUAUACAGAUCAUACUUUUGACCUCUAUACGUUUACAACCUAAUAAUCAAAAUCAUUUUCAUCACUAUCUUUCACGUCAGAUGGAUGGAAAGGCCAAGGACUCUCAGUCAUCUCCUGUUUUAUGACUGAUCUAAUAUGAGAUGAAGUCUGAUCUAUGAUCUUGUUCAAAUUGGUUGACUUGGCCCUCCAAACUUUGAGUUCCCUCUGCAGUGUUUGAUUUUUCAAGACAACAUCCCUUAAUGAUACACUUUGUGGUACGAUCAACAAUUUUCCUUUCUCAUGUGGGAAUAUAUGUACUAUAUUGCCCAGCUCAGAUUCAAGAUUCCUGCAAAUAUUCUUCCUUGUAUAAUCUCGCAAGCAUGUAAUUCCUCUAGACAGCAUUAAUUGUUCAAGUUUCAAGACCAAAGAACUUGCUUGUACAAUGGUCUUAUUGGGUAUGAUAUCAGCUCUGAUAUAUUUGAAAAGAUCAAUAUAGGCUUCCCUUUCAAUGUUUUUAUACAGUUCACCACGAUCUGUUUCCUCAUUUUUCUUUUUGCACACAGGUUCCUUUUUCUUGAUUCGUGUAUAAUCUUUAUAGCAUGACACAUGAUAGUGGGCCUCUGCAGCAACUAUGUCUCUGCUUGUUACUGCUAGAAUAUUUUCAUCCCCUUUUUGAGUUGCACACUCUCUUGAAGUUUGGUCAGCUCUGAGUUGUACAGCUUGUGUAAGCUUUUCACGCAACUUGGAGCCCUUUAAAAACUUCUCAUUCUCAUACAAAAGAUGCAGAUAUGAUCAUACACCCUUGAUGCUGAUGAAGAUCUCCUUCUAGGCCUUUUUGAUACACAGCCGUACUCAACAUCUUCAUCACCAGUAAUGCUUUCCUUGGCUUUCUUUUUCAAUGACUCCAAUUCCCUCUUCAUGGUGAAGAGGCUUUGGCAUUUUCUGUGAUAAUAAAUUGUAGGCACAUCCUUUUCUCUAAUAUUUUUUAGCAAUGUCUAAAAUAGGGGCAUGGUUUCUCACUUUGGCUGCUUCAAGUAAUGUUUCCCAGGAUUUAUAGUCUUGGGGACUAACUAAAUGUUCACCAUCAUCCUUGGACAUUUUAUUGUGUAUGAUGCACUGUUUAAUCGAUUCUGUCUGCUUAGGACUCUCCAUCAUAAAGGAAAGUGAUUCAGCUCCUUGACAUGAAAACACUCUGCUGUUCUCUGAAUUGUGUCUGACAUUAAAAACAGGGAUAUGCCCCUAAUUUGCCUAAAUAGCCUCAAUGAUGAUUAAGGUUAAGACUUGUAUUUUUAACUGAAACAUUUGUCACCCCUCCAAAGGAAGUGGAGAUAGUGCAAGUGGUAACGUCCAAGUAACCUCGUGUCCAGCCUCCUUGGUGCCCUACACCCUGUCCUUCUCUGCCCAAGUGUCGUCUCCUCGUCCUGUCUCCAAAAUAGAGUCCAACUGUUCCCUUGAUCCUCUACAGUACCUCAACUCAGAGCAAACCAAAGCCAUGGUAGGUGGAAUAUUCAUGUGUCUGCUGAUGUUGUUGUCUGCACUGGUAACACUAUGUGUCAUUCAUGUUGUUGUUUGUGUGUCCUGUAAACUAUAGAUCAAGCUGGCUGCAGGGCACAAAUUUGACAGAGAUGUUGAACUUCUGAUUUAUUACAAAGAUGCCCACCAGCCCACUGCGGUGGUGGAGGCAGGCCAGGCUUCUGCUGAGCUUGGUGAGUAGAAAUUUGUGAAGUUCCUAUUUUGCAUUUACAAAUCUUAAUAGCCUAACUCUCUAGUCUAGCAGAUAAAUCACAUAAAUAAAUAGCAAAAGUAAGAUUGGAUGUCUUUGUGGCUCAGGCACUCUGAUGGGUGAUCCAGUAGUGAUGCUGAGUCUGUACCCAGAGUUCCCACAGGCUGUGAUGUCCUCAGUUGCCACAUGUGGAGAGUUUGUGUUCUUAUUGGAUCGCUCUGGUAGUAUGGGUGCAGCUAUGAACCACACCAAUAGAAAUGAGACUCGCAUUAGUAGUGCCAGGGUAUGAAUGUGUAUAUUCUUAUAUAAAACUAUCAGGAAUUUUCUUAUCAGACAGCAGCUUUCAUGAUUAUGUUUUUCCCUGAAGGAUACUCUUCUACUCCUGCUGAAGAGUUUACCAAUGGGCAGCUAUUUCAACAUUUACAGUUUUGGCUCCAGUUUUGAAUCCAUCUUCCCGUAAGUUACUUCUCAAAGGCUGUCCAAUAAAUUUGUCCCUGACUUUGUUGUUAAUUUGAGGACUUUUUUUGAUGUAAUCACAGUAAGAGUGUGGAGUACAACCAGGAGACAAUGGAAAAGGCUUUGAAGAAAGUUGAGGAGAUGCAGGCUAAUCUGGGAGGAACAGAGAUCCUUAAGCCACUUAAACACAUCUACAGCCAGCCCUGCAUUCCCAGUCAACCCAGACAAGUACCACACAUUCACACACAUUCACACAAAACAUGUGAAACAGGUCCAACAUCCCCUGCCAGUAACUAAAGAAAUCAAUUCAGUCACCAGUAAAAGAAUCUUUCUGUUCUGGUUUUACAGUCACCAGUUAGUUUAUUCUCACCACACCUUGUUUCAAACUUGGCACUAAUAACCACUUCAAUGUUGUGGCAUCUAAACAGCCUUCUGAAAACAACGGCUGCAUAUGAUUGUGAUAUAUUUGAAUAACAUGAAAAUUCUCUUCCCUAGCUAUUUGUAUUUACUGACGGAGAAGUGUGGAACACCAAAGAAAUUAUAGACCUGGUAAAGAAGAAUUCACAUGCCCACAGGUGAACUGCCAGAAACUUUGUAAACAACCAGAUUAUUUCACACAACAUAUACAUUGUUCUCCUGCUGCCUGGGGUAAAAGUUAAACAACUCUAUUUCAGAUGUUUCUCUUUUGGGAUUGGAGAAGGGGCCAGCUCCGCUCUCAUCAAUGGGUUGGCCAAGGAAGGAGGAGGUCAUGCUCAGUUCAUUUUAGGAAGUGACAGGAUGCAACCAAAAGUCAGUUCCACAUGAAAUACAAGCAAUCUGUCAUGUUCAACAAUACUUUGGUUUGUUGGAUGGGAGGGGUAAACCUUUUAAAAGUGAUUUAUCUUCACCAGGUGAUGCAGUCACUGAGGUAUGCUCUACACCCAGCUGUGGUGGACAUCUCAGUCACAUGGGAUUUACCAAAAGAUGUGUCCGCCACUGUCCUUUCUCCACCGAUCACAUCACUUUUCCAGGGUCAAAGGUCUCUGAUUUAUGCUGGACUCACUGGACAGGUAGGAAUUGUUACAUAUGAAGAGGAAGUUCUCUGUAUUUUAGUGUAAUAGUGUAAAGAUUUUGGUUUAAAACCAUUUAAACAUUGAUCUCCUUCUCUGCCUCUCAUAAGGGUCCUAAAUCUGUAAAUUCUGUCAGAUUUCAGAGGCAGCUGAAGGCUGUGUGACAGUAAAAUACAGCCUGGCAGGUCAUCCCUCUCAGAACCAGCUUCGCUUCAACCUGAAACCUACAGAGGAUUCUGGGUAAAAAAAUAAUUCAAAACAGCCUUAUGGAGUUUCAUUUCAAUAUUGAGAACAACACUGAAUGAAUGCUAAAACUUAUAUUUUUGAAAAAGGGAAAAUAUUUGGCACCAACAAGUUUCUUCUUAGUCGUUGACACAGAAAAUGAGCUAAGAUGUACACACUGUAACAUGAAAACACAGAAAAACUAAAACAGACUUGAUCUCAGUUGUGUUCCAGUGCAACACGACAUUUGGGCCAUUGUUCAAUCACUGAACAACUGAGGAACAGCAAGAUGUUUUAUGUAUCAUAUUGAGACAAAUCACAUAUAUAGAUAAAGAUAUAGCUGUGUUUGGAGAUCUAACAGAGUGAAAGAAAAACAAAGAAAAACAUCACAAACUCUGAUAGCGCUGAUUUUAGAAGACUGCAGAGUUCAUUACUGUCAAUGUAAUCGUUAAUAUAUCCACAUCCUCUGCACAUCCUUUAACAUGUGAUAUCAAUAUUUUCAGACUAACAGUCCACAGGCUGGCUGCUCGGGCUCUGAUUCGCUGCCUGGAGAUGGAGGACAGAGAGCCCAGACAACAGCAGGAUGACAGUGUCAAGAAGAAGGUGGUAGAGCUCAGUGUGCAAUCAGGAGUGAGCAGUGCCUUUACUGCCUUUAUCGCAGUCAACAAAGGCAAUGGCAAAGCCAUACAGGGACCACUGGAGCGCAGGAAUGUUCCAGCACCCAGUGAGUAUUUCAUAGACACUUAAAUUAAAAAUAUGGCUG
rnacentral:lncRNA from 1 species